rnacentral:rRNA from 1 species
GCCCUUGGAAGUAAAAGUCGUAACAAGGUUUCCGUAGGUGAACCUGCGGAAGGAUCAUUACUGAUUUGCUUAAUUGCACCACAUGUGUUUUUCUUUGAAACAAACUUGCUUUGGCGGUGGGCCCAGCCUGCCGCCAGAGGUCUAAACUUACAACCAAUUUUUUAUCAACUUGUCACACCAGAUUAUUACUAAUAGUCAAAACUUUCAACAACGGAUCUCUUGGUUCUCGCAUCGAUGAAGAACGCAGCGAAAUGCGAUACGUAAUAUGAAUUGCAGAUAUUCGUGAAUCAUCGAAUCUUUGAACGCACAUUGCGCCCUCUGGUAUUCCGGAGGGCAUGCCUGUUUGAGCGUCGUUUCUCCCUCAAACCGCUGGGUUUGGUGUUGAGCAAUACGACUUGGGUUUGCUUGAAAGACGGUAGUGGUAAGGCGGGAUCGCUUUGACAAUGGCUUAGGUCUAACCAAAAACAUUGCUUGCGGCGGUAACGUCUACCACGUAUAUCUUCAAACUUUGACCUCAAAUCAGGUAGGACUACCCGCUGAACUUAAGCAUAUCAAUAAGCGGAGGAAAGGGC